GCAAUGGGGGGGCCUGGGUUCGUGGGGGCACGAACUGGGGGCUGGAUCCGGUCCCCAGCCCCGGCCUCUCUGGCCGUUUCCCCUCUGUCCCCUUCCUGGCCAUCAUGAGGUGAGCAGCCCUGCCUGCCCGCCUCCGCCAUGCUGCUCCUGCCUCCCCUCAGGCCACGGCAAUGGAACCGGCUCACGGGCGCUGAGCCUCUGAAACCGCGAGUCUGAAUAAACCUUUCCACCUCCGCGCUGAUUUUCCCAGAACAACAGGAUCCAGAGUUCCCCUCCAUCUGAACCAACACGUAAACAGACAAAGCACAGGAAAGAGGCUCUGGAGACGAGGAGACAGGACGUUGUGCCAGAGAAACCAAAACCAAAGCCCGACGAGCACGGCCAGUGCCCGCCUGCCCCAGACAGCGUCUCACAGCGGGGCUGAGAAGGUGGCGUCUGAGUGGGCAGCUGGGUUCACAGCACAGAGGACCAGGGAGGAGACAGCCAUGCCCCGGCCAAUGCCAGGUCGCACGCAGGGCCUUGAUGUUUGGCGGGGAUGGUGCAGACCUGUGUGAGGGACUCGGGUCUUCAUGGACCCUUGACACUCAGCAAGGUAAGAGUCACGGGUCUGGAUCCCACUUAAAGCCACCAGGCGGGCCAAGAAGCAGGAAAAUGUGACCCAUCCUGAUGGAAAAUUCCAGAUGACACUGGCAGUGUGUGUGGUGAGAGAGAGACCACCUGGACCAGGACACCAGGCAGUCAUCACUUCAUCCCAGCAUCCGAGGGGCUGGGUAAGAAGGUGCACGGGGCCUAGAGCAGAAGAGACUUUAAAGGACCCAGAUCGGGCUGCAGAAAUUAAGACCACAGUGUCUGAGGUGAGAAGCCCAGUGUGUGGGACUCAAGGAAGAGCUGACACAGAUGCAGAGAGAUGACCCAUGGGAAGAUGCCGCCAGAGACCGUCCAGCGUGGAGACCUGAGCAAGCCUGAGGAGCGAAGAAAGAAAGGCUUCUGUGCUCUGUGUUCCCACGGGCGAGGACUGCAGCCCGUAGAUUUGUAUUGCUGCUUUAAUAGUUAUCCACCGUUACAGAGAAGCUUAACCAGCACUCAGUUUAUCAGUAUAGCACCAAAGGGCUCUCAGCAGUGCAGCCGGGCUCUCUGCUCAUGACUCACAGGACAAGAUCAAGAUGUGGCCCAGCUGCUUUCCUGAGGUCUCAGCCGGCUCCUUUGGGUCAUGGGCCAUAGAUGUCCAUCUUUUGGCAUCUGCACAUCUGAGGUCCCAUUUCUUGGUGGCGGUCAGCUGGGGCCACUCACCUGUGGAGGCCACCGACAGCCCCUGCCUCCUGGCCCUGCAGCGGGUCACGCGUGGCUCCAUCCAGCCCAGCAGGAGCGGUGUUGCUGCUCUCCUGUCUCUGAUUCUGGUUCCUGUGACUUCCGUCUGGCCACCACCCACCAGCCUCCCUUUCCAGGACCUCCAAGGCAGCUGAUGAGCAGCCUAAUGACACCUGCAAAUUCUUCUCUGCCCUGCGGGGCUUUCAGAGUCUCCCCCGCACUCCGGGGAGGGAGCUACCCCGGGCAGAUGCAGCAGGGGAAGUACUGGGGCCGUCUUACGACUCUGCCUACCAUAAACUGGUACAAGAAUUAAAUAUCCUACAUGAUAAGAGGAAGGCCACUGGGACCCGCACCCUUGUUCAGAAACAGAACUCUCUGAACCCCUGAGGCAGAACUACAAGAGGCGGCUGUCAUAGGGAGCCCCUCUGAGCUGUGGUGUCCUUCCACAGGGGCUGUGCUGCUGUACAGGUGGAGGCCCCACCAUCAUGUGCUGCUGGUCUGAUGCACCCCAGGACCUUCCCAGGGUGGGGCCCGAUGAGCCAUGGCCUCUGCUGCUCCUGCCCCGCCCACCGGGGCUCCUGUUCUUCUGUUUGCUUUCGGAUUCUUCUUAUUUCAAGCCCGUAGAUUUGUAUUGAUCCUGAGGUCCCACCUCGCCUGGGCCUAGGCAUAGCGUAUGGAGGGCCUGACUCCUGCGCUCAGUACCCCAGCGUUUUGCUGGGCAUCAUGCCAUGGGAGAGCAGAGCACCACCAGCACACAGCAGAGGGGUCGCUGCGAACCAGGAAGGGCUCAUCCUGUCCCCCACCCCUAAACACCGGCUCGGUGUCACUCACCAAAGUCCCAAAUGCACCUAGGAGGGGGACUUCAGUCGCACGGCCCAGCAACACAGCCUGCCUGGAGAUAGCCCAGGACCUGUGCAUCCCCAGCCAGUGCCCAAGCGAAAGAUGGGGUGUUGAAGGUGAAGCUCCAGAGUAGGGGGACACACAGGCUCCCCGGGACACACUGCUGGGACCCAGGAGGACCACAGCUGGUGAUGACACCUGGGGGAAGGGUGAGGCACCUGGGGGGUGGGGACCGCAAUGGGGACCCAGCCAGCGAAUGAAGCCUGCACGCCCGCAGUGGGGGCGAGCCUGACCCCACACAUGCUCCGCUCCCAGAGCCGGGGUCCCCGGCCUGAUGACCACUUUGAGGGCCAGAAUGCACACUCCGCCUUCCUGCGGUCUCUGCCUGUUCGCUUCACAGUGUGUUCGCUUGCUGCUUGGUGUCGUUCUAAGAGAAAUUAAAUUUAAAUGUCUCGCAUGGAUUUUGCC